rnacentral:rRNA from 1 species
AUCGAACGCUGGCGGCAGGCCUAACACAUGCAAGUCGAACGGGUGGAGGACGGGUGGGUAAUGGCUUGGCACCUGCCCGAUGGAGCGGGAUAACUUGUGUAAAACUUAGCUAAUACCGCAUACAACGGUAUGUGGCCUGAUGGGAGUAUCUAGCAGGUGGGGUAAAGGCGCACCUAGGCCACGAGGCCUAGCGUGUCUGCGAGGAUGACCGGCCACACUGGAACUGAGACAAGGGCCAGACUCCUACGGGAGGCAGCAGUGGGGAAUAUUGCACAAUGGGCGAAAGCCUGAUGCAGCCAUGCCGCGUGUAUGAAGAAGGCUUUCGGUUUGUAAAGUACUUUCAGCGGGGAGGCGUUACCCGAAGAAAAAGCACCGGCUAACUCCGUGCCAGCAGCCGCGGUAAUUC